UUCUCGGAGCAACAGUUUGACGUGAAGCGGGUCAGGGGAGGAAUCCAGCAGCCCUAAGCGUUCUAAACUGUGUGCUCUUUUUUUGU
rnacentral:SRP_RNA from 1 species